GCAUGUGGUUUAAUUCGAAGCAACGCGAAGAACCUUACCAGGUCUUGACAUCCCUGACAACUCUAGAGAUAGAGCGUUCCCUUCGGACAGGACAGGUGGUGCAUGGUUGUCGUCAGCUCGUGUCGUGAGAUGUUGGGUUAAGUCCCGCAACGAGCGCAACCCUUGAUCUUAGUUGCCAGCAUUUAGUUGGGCACUCUAAGGUGACUGCCGGUGACAAACCGGAGGAAGGUGGGGAUGACGUCAAAUCAUCAUGCCCCUUAUGACCUGGGCUACACACGUGCUACAAUGGAUGGUACAAAGGGCUAAUCCCAUAAAACCAUUCUCAGUUCGGAUUGUAGGCUGCAACUCGCCUACAUGAAGCUGGAAUCGCUAGUAAUCGCGGAUCAGCAUGCCGCGGUGAAUACGUUCCCGGGCCUUGUACACACCGCCCGUCACACCACGAGAGUUUGUAACACCCGAAGUCGGUGGAGUAACC
rnacentral:rRNA from 2 species